rnacentral:lncRNA from 1 species
GAUCACUUGGGAAGAAUCUCUUGAGAGAGGCUCUGGAGAAGGGAAGCUCUUGGAGGAAAAUCUCUAAGGAGAUCUCUCUGGAGCUCCUCUGAGGGAACUCUAUCCCUCUGGAGGCUCUGGAGAGAGGCCCUUUGGAACUCUUUCUGGUGAAGUCAGCUGAGAUGAAGCUGGCCUGGUGUCACUAGAAUCCUUGCUUAGGCAGACCUUGUGUGGAUCAUAUUCAUGUCUGAAGAGGAAAUGGAUCUCAUUUUUGACAGUGAGGAGAGAAACGAAGAUGUCACCUUCUCCCAGGACUCAGAGAGAGAGAGAGCAACUGCCACUCCCAGAGAACAACUGCCCCAGAAAACCCUUUACACCUCCUACACACAUUGUCAAUAUUUGAAACUGACACUCUGUCCCAGCUCUAUUUCAAACCCCAAUUCUUUCUCAAGCCAGCUUAUCCACUUCUUACCUCUAAACUAAUGUGACAAGACUUAAUUUCUAAUAUCAUCCUUAUAAGUGACUUACCAAGUGCUAAGUAGGAGUAUUUAAAAUUCUUGAUUUCGUGGAAAGGAAACUGAGGAACUAUUUUAGAAUGUUGGCAGGAGGGAAGAGUGGCAGUUGGAGGAGAAGAAGGGACUUGUGGGAUUGAGAGCUUUGAAAGGAGUCUUUUACCCUGUAUACUCAUGAGAGACAGGAGUGAGGGACUGAAGUGAAGGACCCCAAAUUGGUGGUACCAGAGCCUUGCCUACAUUUCCCUUUACCCUGGAAGACAGAAAGAUCCCUGACAUCUCUGGAUCAUUGAUUAAAGAAGCAAAAGAAGGGCAGAAGACUAUUUAUUGGAACACAGCUCCUGUUCAUCCCUGCCACAACAUCUGCUCAGGGGUACCCCUCUUUUGUGUUUAAGGUAUGAAGGAUAAGGAGAGUUACACAGAGCUUCUCUUAACUCUGAUCUUGUCUUUCUCUCCCUUCCACACAAACCCCCCUAUUCCUUCACCUCCUCCAUCCCUGUGCCUCCCCAUCUAUCCUCUCUUAUAAUCAUAACAAUUUGAUUAAAUUAAAGGUUGCUGAUUGAUUACAUAUAAAAUAAACUAAGAGAGUUCAAUUCUCUCUUCA